rnacentral:tRNA from 1 species
AUAAGAAAAUCCUUAAUAAAUUUCAAAUUUAAAAAAAUAAAAUUCUUUAUA